rnacentral:rRNA from 1 species
GAGAAGACAUUGUGUCUUCGAGUCGUUGAUUUCACACUGCCGAGAAAAGCCUCUAGAUAGAAAAUAGGUGCCCGUACCGCAAACCGACACAGGUAGUCAAGAUGAGAAUUCUAAGGUGAGCGAGCGAACUCUCGUUAAGGAACUCGGCAAAAUGACCCCGUAACUUCGGGAGAAGGGGUGCUCUUUAGGGUUAACGCCCAGAAGAGCCGCAGUGAAUAGGCCCAAGCGACUGUUUAUCAAAAACACAGGUCUCUGCUAAACCGUAAGGUGAUGUAUAGGGGCUGACGCCUGCCCGGUGCUGGAAGGUUAAGAGGAGUGGUUAGCUUCUGCGAAGCUACGAAUCGAAGCCCCAGUAAACGGCGGCCGUAACUAUAACGGUCCUAAGGUAGCGAAAUUCCUUGUCGGGUAAGUUCCGACCCGCACGAAAGGCGUAACGAUUUGGGCACUGUCUCAACGAGAGACUCGGUGAAAUCAUAGUACCUGUGAAGAUGCAGGUUACCCGCGACAGGACGGAAAGACCCCGUGGAGCUUUACUGUAGCCUGAUAUUGAAAUUCGGCACAGCUUGUACAGGAUAGGUAGGAGCCUUUGAAACGUGAGCGCUAGCUUACGUGGAGGCGCUGGUGGGAUACUACCCUAGCUGUGUUGGCUUUCUAACCCGCACCACUUAUCGUGGUGGGAGACAGUGUCAGGCGGGCAGUUUGACUGGGGCGGUCGCCUCCUAAAAGGUAACGGAGGCGCUCAAAGGUUCCCUCAGAAUGGUUGGAAAUCAUUCAUAGAGUGUAAAGGCAUAAGGGAGCUUGACUGCGAGACCUACAAGUCGAGCAGGGUCGAAAGACGGACUUAGUGAUCCGGUGGUUCCGCAUGGAAGGGCCAUCGCUCAACGGAUAAAAGCUACCCCGGGGAUAACAGGCUUAUCUCCCCCAAGAGUUCACAUCGACGGGGAGGUUUGGCACCUCGAUGUCGGCUCAUCGCAUCCUGGGGCUGUAGUCGGUCCCAAGGGUUGGGCUGUUCGCCCAUUAAAGCGGUACGCGAGCUGGGUUCAGAACGUCGUGAGACAGUUCGGUCCCUAUCCGUCGUGGGCGUAGGAAAUUUGAGAGGAGCUGUCCUUAGUACGAGAGGACCGGGAUGGACAUACCUCUGGUGUACCAGUUGUCGUGCCAACGGCAUAGCUGGGUAGCUAUGUGUGGACGGGAUAAGUGCUGAAAGCAUCUAAGCAUGAAGCCCCCCUCAAGAUGAGAUUUCCCAACUUCGGUUAUAAGAUCCCUCAAAGAUGAUGAGGUUAAUAGGUUCGAGGUGGAAGCAUGGUGACAUGUGGAGCUGACGAAUACUAAUCGAUCGAAGACUUAAUCAA